CCAGUGUCAACUUCCCCAGACUCUGUCCUAGUGGCAUAGGGGAGCCUAGGACUAUGCUCCUUAGUGUAUGUACAGUCCUUUUUCCCAGUGUUGGAGAUGAAGCUGGACUUCAAGUCCAUGCCUACAUGCUCUUAUGACUUCUCAGAGCCCUGUGGACGAUAACUGAGGAGACAAACCUCGCAGGAUGCAGUC
ensembl:snoRNA SNORA73 Small nucleolar RNA SNORA73 family